CUACUCAUCUGGCAGGGGAGAUACCAUAAUCACAAAGGUGGUUUCCCCAGAAUGAGGUUCCCCCAUUACACCCCAUUAUACCCGAGUGCUGACUCCUGCGAUUUCCCUAAAUGUGAGAAACUCAACUGCAUAAUUUGUGAUAGUGGGGGGCUGCUUUCACAUUCUCCCCUG